GACACAGGCUUGGGUGCAGGGUGGAGGAGACACGGUCAAGGCGCAGAGGAACCUGGGAGGCCUGUGGCUGCUGAGGCUGAGCAGCACCUUCCCCUUCGCUCUCCAGAAAAUGGGCCUGGUCAUCGCAGUCCUGCCUCCGUGGGCGGCAUUUAAGAGGCUCCCUCCAGGAUGGACAGAAACCUAAAUGAAAGGACAAUCCACGGCCCUGGAAAGAUGACAGGUAUCGGAGGAGCUUGGCGAGAGGUGGAGUUCAUGGCAUCACUUACUGCAGAUGCUCGCAGACAGCGACCGAUAGGUGGCAGCAACCUUCUGAAACUUGCAGAGGAAGAUGAAUUUCUACCUUCACACUCUUACUUCGGAGCCCUGCACAGGGCAUGGAUCAGUUGACUUUGCCUGACAGAAGUAUGUCACAGAGGUCAUUCAACUUGACGCUUCAGUAAUGUCGCAUCAAAGUAUGUCCUUUAUGAGAAAAAUCACUGAUUUUUCUAUGGAGUUUGUCUUUCCACUUUCAGCGUUGCCAUAUCUGAGGAGCUCUGCAGGCUGCAGGAAGCAGUGGAACAACCCAGAAAAACUGUCCACCUCCUGGGGACACCCAGCAGUGUUUGGGACAUUCAUUUAGGCCUUUCACUGACUUGAGUGAUUUUUCUAACCGGAAAACUAGAGCAAGUGUUUUUCAUCGACAGCCAGGUUCCAGGAAAACCUCUCCAUAGCCUCAUGGUGGUGUAUCAGCAGCUCUGCAAGGUCAUUUACCCCGCAACACUCACGGUCAGGCUCCAAAUUUGAGUUAAGGCGGUGGUGGACACGUGACCUUAGCUGACAUGCACCGUUCUCUAAAUGAUUUGCAAGAAUAUUUCUUCUAAAUAUUUUAUAUUUGCUUUUGAAUAGCUAAUUCGCAUGCAGCGUUUAAACAAUUAAAAAUACAUUAAAAGGAAUGUAGUAAAAAGAUGCCUCCAAAUGCCUGCUCCCCAUCGACAGGUUAUCAUUGCCAAGGAUUGUUUUCUUUAAUUAGAGUAGAGUUGAUGAGCUGUGUUGGCGUGGAUGUUUGAUGUCUCCCUCCAAAGUAGGAAUGCGGACAAAGAAAGGCAAGCAGGUGGCCUUACUUUCUCCACUGUUAGCACCAAAAGGGAAGCUCUUAUUUACAUUGUUCCUCAUCUCGCUACUUCAAAUAAUGCCAUAGCUUGGGCAUCCUUCCAUGUCAAUGCAUAGAAAGUUCCCUUAUUUGCAAAUGCCGCCCCACUUCUCCACAUGAGGGCUCAGGGAGAAGAUGGGGUCUAUGAACCAGAAAGUGGGUCCUCACCAGCCACCACCAAGUCUACUUGCUGGUACCUUGAUCUUGGAUUUCCAGCCUCUCCAGACCUGUGAGAAAUAAAUGUCUGUUGAUAAGCCACCCAUUCUGUGGUGUCCUGUUACAGCAGCACAGAUGGAAUAAAGCCAUCUUUUAUAUUCAUGUUUUAAAGUUUUCUCUAC
ensembl:lncRNA